GACAAACCGUGCGAACGUUAUUCGGAAUCAUUGGGCUUAAAGAGCGCGUAGGCGGCGACGUAAGUUGGAAGUGAAAUCCCAUCGGCUCAACCGUGGAAUCGCUCCCAGUACUGCGUUGCUCGAGGGAGAUAGGGGCCUGUGGAACUGCCGGUGGAGCGGUGAAAUGUGUUGAUAUCGGCGGGAACGCCAGUGGCGAAAGCGCUCAUCUGGCCCGAUACUGACGCUGAGGCGCGAAAGCUAGGGGAGCAAACGGG
rnacentral:rRNA from 1 species